GCUUACUAUGGUUUAAUUGACGCUGAGGCACGAAAGCGUGGGGAUCAAACAGGAUUAGAUACCCUGGUAGUCCACGCCCUAAACGAUGAAUACUCGCUGUUAGCGAUACACAGUUAGCGG
rnacentral:rRNA from 1 species